AAGGAGUACGAAAAAUUCUAGGAGCCCCUAUCCUACAACCCUGAUACUAGACCUCCAUACAUUCCUAUCAAGGGUCAUGUCCUCGGAAAUCCGCAUCCUAGCCAUGUCAUGCCUAAUCACCUCUCCCCGAUACCUCUUAGGCCUCCCUCUGCCUCGCCUCAUGCCGACCACCGCCAGCCGCUCACAACUCCUCGCCGGGGCAUCUGGACUUCUUCUCCGCACAUGCCCGAACCAACUGAGCCUCGCUUCUCG
rnacentral:lncRNA from 1 species